UACGGAAGGCAGCAGUGGGGAAUAUUGCACAAUGGGCGCAAGCCUGAUGCAGCCAUGCCGCGUGUAUGAAAAAGGCCUUCGGGUUGUAAAGUACUUUCAGUCGUGAGGAAGGUGUUAAGGUUAAUAACCUUAGCAAUUGACGUUAGCGACAGAAGAAGCACCGGCUAACUCCGUGCCAGCAGCCGCGGUAAUACGGAGGGUGCGAGCGUUAAUCGGAAUUACUGGGCGUAAAGGGCACGCAGGCGGUUAAUUAAGUUGGAUGUGAAAUCCCCGGGCUUAACCUGGGAAUGGCAUUCAAGACUGGUUAGCUAGAGUCUUGUAGAGGGGGUAGAAUUCCAUGUGUAGCGGUGAAAUGCGUAGAGAUGUGGAGGAAUACCGGUGGCGAAGGCGGCCCCUGGACAAAGACUGGGAC
rnacentral:rRNA from 1 species